rnacentral:rRNA from 1 species
UACGAGGGGGGCAAAUGUUGUUCGGAAUCACUGGGCGUAAAGGGUGCGUAGGCGGUUAACUAAGUCAGUGGUGAAAGGCAGCAGCUUAACUGUUAGCACUGCCAUUGAUACUGGUUGACUUGAGUACAGACGAGGUAGGCGGAAUUUAUGGUGUAGCGGUGAAAUGCAUAGAUACCAUAAAGAACACCGAUUGCGAAGGCAGCUUACUAGACUGUAACUGACGCUGAGGCACGAAAGCGUGGGGAUCGAACAGG